UUUGUAAGAAUAACUCUAGUUGUUUUGUAUCGACUAAAGAUUAUAGAUGCAACACUUUUAGAAAUAGGGU
rnacentral:tRNA from 1 species